rnacentral:misc_RNA from 1 species
GUAACAAGGUUUCCGUUGGUGAACCAGCGGAGGGAUCAUUACAGGACUCGCAAGACUCCCGUAAACCACUGUGAACUUACCUACAACCCGUUGCCUCGGCGGGUGCUCCGGGCGCGUCUUCGGGCGCUCCGGGGCGCUCCAGCCCGCCGGCGGCCCCUAAACUCUGUCUCUGUAACGUUGGCAUCUCCGAGCAGACUAUAAACGAGUCAAAACUUUCAACAACGGAUCUCUUGGUUCUGGCAUCGAUGAAGAACG